rnacentral:rRNA from 1 species
UGCCAGCCGCCGCGGUAACACGGGGGGCGCAAGCGUUAUUCGGAAUUAUUGGGCGUAAAGGGCGGGCAGGUGGUCCGUUAAGUCGUCUGUGAAAAUCCGGGGCUCAACCCCGCGAAAUGCAGACGAUACUGGCGGACUAGAGAUCGGUAGGGGCUAGCGGAAUUCCUGGUGUAGCGGUGGAAUGCGUAGAUAUCAGGAAGAACACCCGUGGCGAAGGCGGCUAGCUGGGCCGAGUCUGACACUCAUCCGCGAAAGCGUGGGGAGCAAACAGGAUUAGAUA